rnacentral:lncRNA from 1 species
GGCCAGAGGCAUCUGAGGUGAGAAAUAAGCCCAUGUUGGCAUCCUUGGCAUCCCUCAGGAAGACCUGAAGUGAGAGCCUUGGAAAGUCAGGAUCCAGCAGGAGGACAUUUUGCUCUCUUGAGCAUUUGCUGUCAAGUAUCCAGAUGCAGAAGUCUUACUUCCUGCUUUUCUAUGACAUCAUCCUUCAGAAGGCGGGGCAUAGGCAAGAACAUGAUAAAGCACUUCUCCUUCCUGCCAUCAUGUGAAGAAGGAUGUGUUUGCUUCCCCUUCUGCCAGGAUUGUACGUUUCCUGAAGCCUCCCCAGCCUGCAGAACUGUGAGUCAA